CAAAAUUUGGGAUGGAAAGUGAGCCUUAUAGUCCGAAAAUAUGGUACCUCCUUAUUGUCUUUCACUGAAAUUUUGUUUUUCCGUCAAGUAGGAAAAUGACCUUGUUCACCUCAUCCACAGUGCCCAGGACAUUGUCAUAUUAAUUACAUUUGCCCCAGAUAUCUUGAACUAUACACUCAUCACUACUUCAAAAUUAUGGUGUAGGCCCUGGCUGGUGU